GAUGAACGCUGGCGGCGUGCCUAAUACAUGCAAGUCGAGCGAACAGACGAGGAGCUUGCUCCUCUGACGUUAGCGGCGGACGGGUGAGUAACACGUGGAUAACCUACCUAUAAGACUGGGAUAACUUCGGGAAACCGGAGCUAAUACCGGAUAAUAUAUUGAACCGCAUGGUUCAAUAGUGAAAGACGGUUUUGCUGUCACUUAUAGAUGGAUCCGCGCCGCAUUAGCUAGUUGGUAAGGUAACGGCUUACCAAGGCAACGAUGCGUAGCCGACCUGAGAGGGUGAUCGGCCACACUGGAACUGAGCCACGGUCCAGGCUCCUACGGGAGGCAGCAGUAGGGAAUCUUCCGCAAUGGGCGAAAGCUUGACGGAGCAACGCCGCGUGAGUGAUGAAGGUCUUCGGAUCGUAAAACUCUGUUAUUAGGGAAGAACAAAUGUGUAAGUAACUAUGCACGUCUUGACGGUACCUAAUCAGAAAGCCACGGCUAACUACGUG
rnacentral:rRNA from 1 species